AUGGGCCCUGAUGGGAUGCACCCACGAGUGCUGAGGGAGCUGGCAGAUGUUAUUGCUAGGCCACUCUCCAUCAUCUUGGAAAGGACACAGGUAUCAGGAGAGGUGCCUGAGGACUGGAAGAAGGCUAAUGUCGCUCCAGUCUUCAAAAAGGGCAAGGAGGAGGACCCAGGGAACUACAGGCCAGUCAGGCUCACCUCCAUCCCUGGAAAGGUGAUGGAGCAGCUCGUCCUGGGGGCCAUCUCUAAGCACAGGAAGGACAAAAAGGUGAUCAGGAGUAGUCAACAUGGAUUCACAAAGGGGAAAUUGUGCUUAACCAAUCUGAUAGCCUUCUACGAUGGGAUGACUAGCUGGGUAGAUGAGGGGAGAGCAGUGGAUGUUGUCUACCUUGACUUCAGGAAGGCUUUCCACACUGUCUCCCACAACAUCCCCAUAGGCAAGCUGAUGAAGUACGGGCUAGAUGAGCAGACAGUGAGGUGGACUGAGAACUGGCUGAAGGGCAGAGCUCAGAGGGUUGUGAUCAGUGUUGCAAAGUCUAGUUGGAGGCCAGUAGCUGGCAGUGUACCACGGGGGUCAAUACUGGGUCCAAUCCUCUUCUACUUCUUCAUCAGUGGCCUGGAUGAAAGGACAGAGUGCCUCCUCGGCAAGUUUGCUGAUGAUACGAAACUGGGAGGAGUGGCUGAUACACCAGAGGACUGGAGAGACAGGUUGGAAAGAUGGGCAGAGAGGAACCUUGUGAAGUUCAUUAAAGCCAAGUGCAGGGUCCUGCACCGAGGGAGGAAUAACCCCCUGCAGCAGGACAGGCUGGGGGCUGACCUGCUGGAAAGCAGCUCUGCAGAGAAGGACCUGGGGGUCCUGGUGGACAAGAAGUUGACUAUGGGCUUUUUUUUUUCCUUCAAAAUUUCUUUGAAAACUGUCAAUGUUACUGAGGUGAAUCUAGUAGUCUGUAGUUGCCUGGAUAUAAGGAACAGGCAAUAUUUGUCAGAUAAGAUGUCUGGGGAAUGUUAG
rnacentral:lncRNA from 1 species